UUGUCACAGUUCGAGGUUUCCGACGCUCGCAGCACUCGAACGUUUCUCGCCGCGUUCCUUGUUCUUUGGUUUCUUCUUAAUUUCGCGAACUGCGCAGCAAAUUCGACAGCAGCUGGCAACCACCACCGAAUCCCGAAGUAAUUAGGCGAAUCAGCGUCAACGUGCUUACAUAAUCGCUGUAGAUUCGAGUCGUAAAACGUUGCGAGACGACACCCUCUGCCACCUCGAACGACCAAUACACGAACACGCGGACGACAAACUCAAUUGCACCGAAUUGCUUCGCAACAAGAAGAGGAGGCAGUCGUUAUAAAUAAAUUUGAGGCAGCUCGGUGCGUCUCGUAGAAAAAUCUCGACCGUCUAUUCGCGAAAGAAGCACAGAGUUUCUAGCGUUUUUCGCGUGGUUCCUCGUGCUCGACCCUGAUUAUUUAUAGGUGGUAGAAUUUGCAUCGGGAAAGGCAAAUAACGAUAUCGUCGAUCUUACGUCGAUAAUAAUAUUUUCUAAUAUUCUAAUCUUCUGAUAUUCUCAAUCGUUAGACGAUAACGUCUGACGAAUUCGAAGUGAUAAUCGAAAAAUUGGUAAUCGGAACGAGAAACAACUUUUAAUAAUUUACGAAGAUGCGAAUAAACUGGAUAACAUUAGGAUGUUUUCAUAACGAGAUGAAUAGCAACGAUCGACGUAAGUUUGUCGAAAUAGCGAACGAAAGAAGGAACAGUGAAAUUAACGAAAUACGAGGAAUAUGGUUUAUUUUUCGUAAGAGAAAUUCGAGCAACCUCGGACGAUAAAAAGGGGAAGUUAUGCGAGCCAUCUGGAGAAGGUCGAGUGCUGGCGCCUAACCAAGGUCACGGAUAGAGGAAUUUACGACCUUUCGAGUGUUCGACGAACCCUCUUUUGUGCCUACGCUUCAAAUACCUUUCACAGAUUUCACCUGCCUGCUAUUAUAUAAAAUGUUCCAUUGUUGAUUGUAAACAGAAGUUGGUACCUAGAACUUUAAUGAAUAGAAAGCCUCAUUCAUGGCUCGAUUUAAAGAAAACAUUUUGGCUUUGUGUGGCUCGUUAAGCGUUUCGCUCUGCUAUUAUUAUUUAGUUCACAGCAGAUACGAGUUUACACACUUACGCUUACGUAAAUAAAUAAUUCGUCGUUCGAAGGAUUUAUUUAUAAAACGGCAGGUUUUAUCCUAUUUAUCGAAGGAACAUCCGCCGGUGAAGUAAAUCGUUCUUUUUUCCUCUUCUGUUUUUUGAGAUAGAAAUAUUGAUUUAUUUAUAAAGUAGCAGAUUUUAAUCUGUUCGUCGAAGGAAUAAUUUAUCUCGAUGGAAGAUAUCAAUCUUUUAACAUUCAAUACAUCUCGAUUUAAUAUAUCGAUUUCUAAAGUACAUAACACAUUUUGUCCAAUUAAAAAUGUAUUUUAUUGCUAUCCAAAUGUAUAGUUUAUUUGACAUGUAUAUAAUCAUUUUAUCUUCUUCAAAUUUACGAAAUAAUUUCUUUCGUAAACGAUUUCCCCUAUUCACGAAUUACUCGAAAAUGAAGUUACGUAUUUCCUCUUAUUGUACCUUUCUGUAUCUUUGCCCGGUAAACAUCAACAAGAUAUACAUUGUACACUUUUCUCUCUCCUUAUUUGUAUAAAACAAUACAUUAUAAAAUAGCCUACCUACCGAAAAAAAAAAAAAAA